ensembl:lncRNA
CACAAAUGCACGCCUUAGUUAAUGCCCGCUCCGGCCCGAUUGGAACUAACGUUAGUUCAAGUUUAGACUUAAAAUGUGAAAAUUAAGUAAAGUUCUCUUUGUUUCUUUAGACUUUAUGAUGUUGGUCUGCCAUUUGUUGCCAUAUGAAUGGACAGGAGAAAAUGCCAGAACCACAACACUGCUGCUCUGAAGCAACGUUAAUUAACUUAACGUUAGCUAACUUUAAUGUUAGCGCAGAAACAGCACCGUCUGUUCGGCCACGGAGGGGCAGCAGAAACGAGCCGUGGACUCGACCGACCACUUAGAUUUCAAAGAGCCAGCCAGGUUGCUGUGGUUACGAAAAAGGACGUCUGGGCCCGCAGCUUUGCACAGUCAUCUGCUGCUGUUCGUUGACCUUGUAGUGACCCCGCCUCACCACAUCAGAAGGCCGUUAAUCUCUCCUCUCAGUCGCUCAGAAGAUGAUGGCGUUCUCAGACCCCAGGUUUUGGAGAUGGGUUGUAUCUCCAUAUGAAGAUAUAAAGACAAAGAAGAAGGAGCGCUAUAGGAAGUGGGGACUCUGCAUUAGUUCAAUCAUGCAGCGACAUGCAGUCAAGUGUUUGUUGUGCGAGUUGAUCGGGGGGGACAGGUGGUCCUCAUGCAGUGAGUCAGCCGCAGCACAGGACGACGAGAGGGAGGACGAAUGGAG